UUAACACAAAUUUCUAUGGAGUUGGUACGUUUUCCUGCGUAUGUCGCUAGGGGGGCUGUUCCAACUGCAUACAAAUUUAAGUUA
rfam:Bombyx mori DNA, contig: Bm_scaf153_contig40274, strain: p50T/Dazao, build 2, whole genome shotgun sequence.